AAGUCGAACGGCAGCGAGGAGAAGCUUGCUUCUCUGUCGGCGAGUGGCGAACGGGUGAGUAUAGCAUCGGAACGUGCCAAGUAGUGGGGGAUAACCAAACGAAAGUUUGGCUAAUACCGCGUAAGCUCCAAGGAGGAAAGUAGGGGACCUAAAUAAGGCCUUACGCUAUUUGAUCGGCCGAUGUCGGAUUAGCUAGUUGGUGGGGUAAUGGCUCACCAAGGCAAUGAUCCGUAGCGGGUCUGAGAGGACGAUCCGCCACACUGGGACUGAGACACGGCCCAGACUCCUACGGGAGGCAGCAGUGGGGAAUUUUGGACAAUGGGGGAAACCCUGAUCCAGCCAUGCCGCGUGUAUGAAGAAGGCCUUAGGGUUGUAAAGUACUUUUGUUAGGGAAGAAAAGCUAGUUUUUAAUAAAAAUUAGUGAUGACGGUACCUAAAGAAUAAGCACCGGCUAACUACGUGCCAGCAGCCGCGGUAAUACGUAGGGUGCAAGCGUUAAUCGGAAUUAUUGGGCGUAAAGCGAGUGCAGACGGUUACUUAAGCCAGAUGUGAAAUCCCCAAGCUUAACUUGGGACGUGCAUUUGGAACUGGGUGACUAGAGUGUGUCAGAGGGAGGUAGAAUUCCACAUGUAGCGGUGGAAUGCGUAGAGAUGUGGAGGAAUACCGAUGGCGAAGGCAGCCUCCUGGGAUAACACUGACGUUGAGGCUCGAAAGCGUGGGGAG
rnacentral:rRNA from 1 species